AGCAGCAGCUGCCGGACCUCGAGCGCUCGAAGGACAGCGGGAAGGACAAGGACAUCGUGCU
rnacentral:SRP_RNA from 14 species